GUGAGUAACACGUGGAUAACCUACCUAUAAGACUGGGAUAACUUCGGGAAGCCGGAGCUAAUACCGGAUAAUAUUUUGAACCGCAUGGUUCAAAAGUGAAAGACGGUCUUGCUGUCACUUAUAGAUGGAUCCGCGCUGCAUUAGCUAGUUGGUAAGGUAACGGCUUACCAAGGCAACGAUGCAUAGCCGACCUGAGAGGGUGAUCGGCCACACUGGAACUGAGACACGGUCCAG
rnacentral:rRNA from 1 species